rnacentral:ncRNA from 1 species
AAACACUAGGGGUGCCGUUUGGCUGAGAUAGACAUGGUCUAAUCCCUUUGAACCUGUUGAGUUAAGACUUGCGAAGGAAAGUGUG